AAGAGUAUAGUUAAUUAUAACAUUUGAUUUGCAUUCAAAAAGUAUUAGAAACCCUCCUAAUUAUUCUUA
rnacentral:tRNA from 1 species